AGAGUUUGAUCCUGGCUCAGGAUGAACGCUGGCGGCGUGCUUAACACAUGCAAGUCGAGCGAAGCGAUUUUAGGAAGUUUUCGGAUGGAAUUAAAAUUGACUAGCGGCGGACGGGUGAGUAACGCGUGGGUAACCUGCCUCAUACAGGGGGAUAACAGUUAGAAAUGACUGCUAAUACCGCAUAAGCGCACAGU
rnacentral:rRNA from 1 species